AAUGAUUGCCUUAGUACGGCGAGUGAAGCGGCAAAAGCUCAAAUUUGAAAUCUAGCACUUUCAGUGUUCGAGUUGUAAUUUGAAGAAGGUAACUUUGGAAUUGGCUCUUGUCUAUGUUCCUUGGAACAGGACGUCACAGAGGGUGAGAAUCCCGUGCGAUGAGAUGUCCAAUUCUAUGUAAAGUGCUUUCGAAGAGUCGAGUUGUUUGGGAAUGCAGCUCUAAGUGGGUGGUAAAUUCCAUCUAAAGCUAAAUAUUGGCGAGAGACCGAUAGCGAACAAGUACAGUGAUGGAAAGAUGAAAAGAACUUUGAAAAGAGAGUGAAAAAGUACGUGAAAUUGUUGAAAGGGAAGGGCUUGAGAUCAGACUUGGUAUUUUGUGUUCCUUAUCCUUCUUGGAUUAGGUUCCUCACAGCUUACCGGGCCAGCAUCGGUUUGGAUGGCAGGAUAAUGACAUUGGAAUGUAGCUUUGCUUCGGUGAAGUGUUAUAGACUUUGUUGAUACUGCCUAUCUAGACCGAGGACUGCGUCUUUGACUAGGAUGCUGGCGUAAUGAUCUUAAGCCGCCCGUCUUGAA
rnacentral:rRNA from 1 species